rnacentral:rRNA from 1 species
UGGUGGAUCAGUGGCGAACGGGUGAGUAACACGUGNGCAACCUGCCCUGGACUCUGGGAUAAGCGCUGGAAACGGCGUCUAAUACUGGAUAUGAGCCUCUUCCGCAUGGUGGGGGUUGGAAAGAUUUUUUGGUCUGGGAUGGGCUCGCGGCCUAUCAGCUUGUUGGUGAGGUAAUGGCUCACCAAGGCGUCGACGGGUAGCCGGCCUGAGAGGGUGACCGGCCACACUGGGACUGAGACACGGCCCAGACUCCUACGGGAGGCAGCAGUGGGGAAUAUUGCACAAUGGGCGAAAGCCUGAUGCAGCAACGCCGCGUGAGGGAUGACGGCCUUCGGGUUGUAAACCUCUUUUAGCAGGGAAGAAGCGAAAGUGACGGUACCUGCAGAAAAAGCGCCGGCUAACUACGUGCCAGCAGCCGCGGUAAUACGUAGGGCGCAAGCGUUAUCCGGAAUUAUUGGGCGUAAAGAGCUCGUAGGCGGUUUGUCGCGUCUGCUGUGAAAUCCCGAGGCUCAACCUCGGGCCUGCAGUGGGUACGGGCAGACUAGAGUGCGGUAGGGGAGAUUGGAAUUCCUGGUGUAGCGGUGGAAUGCGCAGAUAUCAGGAGGAACACCGAUGGCGAAAGGCAGAUCUCUGGGCCGUAACUGACGCUGAGAGCGAAAGGGNGGGGAGCAAACAGGCUUAGAUACCCUGGUAGUCCACCCCGUAAACGUUUGGGAACUAGUUGUGGGG